rnacentral:misc_RNA from 1 species
GCAAACUUGGUCAUUUAGAGGAAGUAAAAGUCGUAACAAGGUUUCCGUAGGUGAACCUGCGGAAGGAUCAUUAACGAAUCGAGAGGCCGUUUUGGGUUGAUGCUGGCGCGAGAAGCGCAUGUGCUCGCCCCGGCCGAUCUUUCACAUCCAUACACCUGUGCACCUCUUUGGCCGUCAAAGGGAGGGGGAGACCCCUCUGACGGCCGAAUUCACACAAACUACUGUCGAACGAAUGAGAACGUGACGCGUGCCGAAAGGUCGCAAGUGAAACUACAAUACAACUUUUAACAACGGAUCUCUUGGCUCUCGCAUCGAUGAAGAACGCAGC